CGCCUGCCGGCGACCGGCGCACGGGUGAGUAACACGUAUGCGACCUGCCCCCGCAGGGGAUAACCGGGAGAAAUCCCGACUAAUACCGCGUAACGCCGCGGACCUGCAUGGGUCUGCGGCCAAAGGAAGCGAUUCCGGCGGGGGAUGGGCAUGCGGCGCAUUAGCUAGUCGGCGGGGUAACGGCCCACCGAGGCGACGAUGCGUAGGGGUUCUGAGAGGAAGGUCCCCCACACUGGUACUGAGACACGGACCAGACUCCUACGGAAGGCAGCAG
rnacentral:rRNA from 1 species